AUUGAACGCUGGCGGCAGGCCUAACACAUGCAAGUCGAGCGAGCGGCGGACGGGUGAGUAAUGUCUGGGAAACUGCCUGAUGGAGGGGGAUAACUACUGGAAACGGUAGCUAAUACCGCAUACCAUCGGAUUUGCCCAGAUGGGAUUAGCUAGUAGGUGGGGUAACGGCUCCCCUAGGCGACGCUCCCUAGCUGGUCUGAGAGGAUGACCUGCCACACUUGAACUGAGACACGGUCCAGACUCCUACGGGAGGCAGCAGUGGGGAAUAUUGCACAAUGGGCGCAAGCCUGAUGCAGCCAUGCCGCGUGUAUGAAGAAGGCCUUCGGGUUGUAAAGUACUUUCAGCGGGGAGGCGUUACCCGAAGAAGAAGCACCGGCUAACUCCGUGCCAGCAGCCGCGGUAAUUG
rnacentral:rRNA from 1 species